AUUGAACGCUGGCGGCAUGCCUUACACAUGCAAGUCGAACGGUAGAGGGGGGCAACCCCCUUGAGAGUGGCGAACGGGUGAGUAAUAUAUCGGAACGUGCCCAGUCGUGGGGAUAACGUAGCGAAAGUUACGCUAAUACCGCAUACGAUCUAAGGAUGAAAGCGGGGGAUCGCAAGACCUCGCGCGAUUGGAGCGGCCGAUAUCAGAUUAGGUAGUUGGUGAGGUAAAGGCUCACCAAGCCGACGAUCUGUAGCUGGUCUGAGAGGACGACCAGCCACACUGGGACUGAGACACGGCCCAGACUCCUACGGGAGGCAGCAGUGGGGAAUUUUGGACAAUGGGCGCAAGCCUGAUCCAGCAAUGCCGCGUGCAGGAUGAAGGCC
rnacentral:rRNA from 1 species